UGCACACACAAAACCCGGCGUACAUCGCAUGCUUUGCGAGACGUGUGGGAUCAUGCUGGGGAGCACCAUCUCAUUGGCCAUUGCAUUGAUGCAGGACAGAAACAGAAUUCCGCUUUGCGACGGACGUGAACGAGGCCCUCCGCGCUACUCUCUCCCUCUCCUCGUCUCUACCCUUCAUUAGAUUUCCAGCUCCACUAUAAACCUUUGCCAGCCUCGGAUGGCUCGGAUUCUUCUGAUAUUUGAAAGCAUCGGUGGUCGUAUCAGGUCUUACCCCACCAAGAGGAUGGCAUUGUUGAGGAGAUUAAACCAUUUACACACACAAUCCAGAGCAAACCUAAUCAUUCGCCCACCUAGUAAUCGCGCCAAACUUUCUAGCAUCGAGACGACUCUAAAAACACUUCGACUCCGCAACUCUCCAGUAGAUGUCAGCACCUACUGCAAGCUUCUAGAUACUUGCAUUCGCUCAAAAUCAUGGGUGCAAGUCAAGAAGAUCCAUCACCACAUCCUUAGCAACAGUGCUUACGUCACAAACCCAUCUCUCCUUGAGAGGAUUGCCCUUGCGUAUAUAUCUUGCAACGAAAUCGAGCAAGCGCGCGUUGUCUUUGAUCAAAUUCCGCAGCCUAGCGUUUUUCUCUGGAAUGCCAUGAUCAGGGCUUACUCUUCGAAAGGUCCAUUUGAUCGAGCCAUCGAUCUUUACCACCGUAUGGUGGAUUGUGGCAUCAAACCGAACAAAUUUACGUUCCCCUUUGUUCUCAAGGCAUGUUCGGGUCUUGCAGCACUAGAGGAAGGCAUUCAGAUUCAUAACCAUGGGAGAAGGGUUGGCUUAGAUUCUGAUCUAUUUGUGUGUACUGCUUUGGUUGAUAUGUACAUGAAAUGUGGGUGCCUGGAUGAUGCACAUGAAGUGUUCAACAGAAUGCCCAAAAGAGAUGUCGUUGCAUGGAAUGCAAUGGUCACUGGCUAUGCACUUCAUGGAAUGUAUGAGGAGACGGUUGGUUUUGUCUUAGAAAUGCAAAAAAUGGGUACAAGUCCGAACUCUUCUACCUUGGUAGCAAUUCUUCCUGUGGUUGGACAAGUGCAGUCACUGAAACAAGGGAAAAGCAUUCAUGGGUUCUGCGUAAGGAGGUGCUUUCAUGAGGAAGAUGUUCUGGUAGGUACUGCUUUACUGGAUAUGUAUGCAAAAUGUGAAUACUUGAACUAUGCUUGGAGAAUAUUUAGUAGCAUGACUGUCAGAAAUGAGGUGACUUGGAGUGCAAUGAUUGGAGGGUAUGUACUGUGUGAUAGGGUGAUAGAGGCCCUGUGGGUAUUUGAUCAGAUGAUGCUUGAGGGAUCUACUAAUGUGUCACCCGCCUCUUUCGCUUGUAUUCUUCGGGCUUGUGCCAGUUUCUCUGAUUCAAGAAAGGGGACAAGGGUACACUGUUAUGUGGCUAAAUUUGGUUAUCUUUCAGACAUCAGUGUUUCAAAUUCUCUUCUCUCCAUGUAUGCUAAGGUUGGAAGUCUUGAUGAUGCUUUGAGGUUUUUCAAUGAGAUGGAUCCAAAAGAUACUGUCUCUUAUAGCGCAAUUAUUUCAGGAUGUGUACAAAAUGGGAAUGCUAAGGAAGCACUUAAUAUAUUCAGAAAGAUGCAAUUAUCUAGUAUAGAGCCAGAUGCUGCAACGAUGGUGGGAGUUCUUCCAGCUUGUUCCCAUUUAGCUGCUCUGCAGCAUGGAAAAUGUGCUCAUGUCUAUGUCACAGUUUAUGGGCUUGCAUCAGAGAUUUCAAUAUGUAAUGCUCUGAUUGACAUGUAUGCAAAGUGUGGGAGAAUCGACCUUGCUAGGGAAGUUUUUGAUAGGAUGUCAAAACAGGACAUAGUGUCAUGGAAUACACUGAUUACAGGUUAUGGAAUCCAUGGGUUGGGUAAUGAAGCUAUCUUAUUGUUUUAUACCAUGGUAGGCGAUGGUUUACUGCCUGAUGACAUCACAUUUAUAUGCCUUAUAUCUGCUUGCAGUCAUUCAGGAUUAGUUACUGAAGGAAAACACUGGUUUCAUGCUAUGAGUCAGAUUUAUGGUAUUACCCCAAGGAUGGAACACUACAUCUGUAUGGUUGAUCUUUUGGGUCGUGGUGGUUUUUUGGAUGAAGCCAAUGAUUUGAUCCAAAAGAUGCCAUUUGAACCAGAUGUUCGUGUGUGGGGUGCCUUGCUUGGGGCAUGCCGAGUUCAUGAGAACAUUGAACUGGGUGAAAAAGUGUCAAAAGUGAUACAUAAGCUGGGGCCUGAGGGUACUGGUAACUUUGUUCUGUUGUCUAAUAUAUACAGCGCUGCUGGGAGAUUUGAUGAAGCUGCACAAGUUAGAAACCUGCAGAGGGACAAGGGUUUUAAGAAAAGUCCGGGAUGCAGUUGGGUUGAGAUUAGAGGCACUGUCCAUGCUUUUAUUGGUGGGGAUCAAUCACAUCCACAGUCAUCAAGUAUACACCAAAAGUUGGAGGAUUUGCUGGCGCAGAUCAAGAAAUUGGGUUACCAGGCCGAUACAAGUUUUAUAUUGCAAGAUAUAGAACAAGAGGAGAAGGAGCAUGCUCUUCUACACCAUAGUGAGAAGCUGGCAAUAGCAUUUGCACUUCUCAAUCCGAGGUCUGAUGAGCCCAUAUUUGUUACUAAAAAUUUGCGUGUUUGUGGUGAUUGCCACACUGCCAUAAAGUAUAUCACAUUGGUCACAAAAAGAGCUAUCACUAUACGGGACGCUAAUAGGUUUCAUCACUUCAAUGAUGGACUGUGCAACUGUGGAGAUUUUUGGUAAUGUGUACCUUUUCUGCAGUCUCUAACAUAGCUUCCAAAGCUUAAACUGCAAGCAUUCAGAUCAAUCAGAACAAGCAGGAAGUUGGGAGAUGAUCACACAGGGUGGUGGGUAAAAAGUCAGGCUGCUGUUGCACAUUCUUCUAGUGUUGUGGGUCCAACUUGCAGUGGAACUCCAAAGAGAAGGAAAGUUGAGAAAGUCCUACAAAAAGGCUUCCUGGAGGAUGUCACCUUGAGUUUGUUAAGUCAAUGCAGGAGACAGCUGCUCUCUGCAAACACAAAAAGGGGAAAUACUCUUCAUAGAAUCAGUAAUUAAUUUCUGAGCUUUUAUUUGCUUGCUACUUGUUUAACCUAUUUAAAUACUCCCAUUUUUAUGAUGAAAGUAACCAGUAUUUGGUUGGAUAUACUAGGAAGCUGCCAGUUUGCCACCAGGAGUGAAUCAGCUAAACUGGAACCAAUGAAGUGAGAAUUAUUGCCUUAUAAUGAGAAAUAACACCAAUUUCUCUUUCAUCUUCUUUGUUAUUUACAUUCUUUCUUGAGCUCUUAGUUAUAUUACGGUAAUUCUAUAUAAGUAUGUGCAUUUGCUGAAUCAUAGGUACACAAUACACAAACCUUAGAUAUGUUCCAAAUCAGUAUACUUUUUUCUUUUGUAUGUGUUUACUACUACCAUAUAUCCUGAGGGUUGCAGAAUUUCACAUCCAAGCUUUACAUUUUUUUUUUGAUAUUCUUGAAGAUUCAGGGUAUCAAGUUUUCUUUCUAAAUUUUGUCAUUAGCUAUCAUUGUAAAUUGUCAUAUUAAUAUAGAAGAUGCAUAGAAACAAUGCAUUCUUCAUAGUUUAAAGUGUCUCUUUUUUUCUAAUUUGUAUUUUCCCUAUGUUUCUCUCUCUACUGAUUAUUUCAAUUUGACUUCUGAGUAGUGCAAGCCUGCUUUGAAUUCUAGUCUCAAUUAUUCACUUUUCCCCCAAAAUCUUACAUUGUCUCUUUUAAUCUUUAACCUUUAUAUCAAAUAAGGUCACCAUGUUCCUAGUGUUUUACUUUUCAAAACUCUGGUUUUCUAAAUCUACUGCCAGACGAGGAAUGUUGGUGGUCUGUUGAAUUAAAGAAUUUUUUUUUCAUAUUAUUGUUCUAAGUCUUUCUUCUGCAAUUUGCCCUCUAGGAGCUUCUUUCAUCUUCUAUAGCAGAUCUAUAUUUGCAUGUGUUAAGAAGUUAUGACAUGUGGUGGCACGUGAGCUCCUUGUCUCGAAAAAUAAUCUUUACUGAUGGUUCAUAUGGUUGUGCUUUUUGAAGUUCCAUGGUGACAUACAAAAACUUCUUCCUUAUUUUUUGAUUGUGUAUAAAGCCAUCAAAUCAUAUAAAAUUUCAUUUUUUUCCAAUAUGAUGAUACUCUAUGGCAAUUGGUAUAAUUGGGAAGAUGAUCAGGUUUUACUCCAUCUAUGAUGAUGAAUUGAAAUUUGAUAUGAUGUGCAACUGGAAUUCUCAAGUCACAAUAAUUCAUUUCCCAUGUCAUAUGAUGACAAUCAACUAAUUUGGAUGAUACAGUUAAUUUUGUUGAUAUGCUCUUUCUUGUCUAGAUGGCUUUACUCUUAAGAAGAACUAAAAGAAAUAUGGUUUCAUCACUUAUUUAUUAUUAGAAAUGCAACAGUCUGAUUAAAAGGUAUUAGAUUUGUUGAUCACAAUUGUGGUAAUGAUGCUCUGCUUAUUUGUUUAGGAGGUAUCAAAUACAGUCUUAAUCAAGUUUAUGUCGAUGAAUAAGGGACAAAGGAAUGGGAUCCAAAGUAAGGAGGCAUCUAUGAACUUAAUUUCAUUAAAAUUGUGUUUUAAGGUAGUCUUGAUCAAUGUUUUGAAAUGGAGGUACCUCACAGGCUUUUCAGAGGUCAAGAAAGCCCAAAAAUCAAUAAAACUUUCAAAAAUCUAUAGAUCCUUGCACAAAGCAAAGGCUACUCAAAUAAGCUUGUUGCCACAAGAACAGUUGUAAGUGUGGGGAUUGGGAACAGAAGGAUCCCCUUGUGGUUUCUGAAACUUCUUUUUAGUUUACAUUAAUUUUUCAUAGGAUCAAACCCAGCACAACCACUUGCUUGCUGUUGCUUUCCUAACAACUAGAAUAUACUUCCUUUAUAUCCAGAUCACCCCACCAAAACCACCUGCAUUGCUAGAAGUUGUUAUAUAUCCUUAUCUAAAUCUGUGUCCUCAUUAUAUAUAUUCACUCCUUCCUUGCCCCAGUAUCAAGAUCACAUAAGAUUCAGGGGCCUACAGGAUCACAAAAAGAUUUUGAUGUCAGUGCAGAGCAGAACUCAGGGGAACACUUUGGGAUUUCCGUCAUGGGCCCUCCUCCACAAUGCCUUCAGGUAACACCCUUUUUGACAACCCACCUUCUUCUUUCUCUUUGCAGGCGUCUCUUAUAUCCAACUUUCAAUCAACUAAUUAAGCCUUCACUCUGUUUCUCUAGUUUAGCUUAAAAUUUUGGGAUGAUGGCAAUUAUUCCCUUCUUCUAUUCUUUGUCGCUUGAUGCUUUUGUCAAAUCCCAACACUCAACCAAGCACUCAAGCGCCCCCUCCCCCCCUCUGUGUUUUGUUUGCUUAUCUGCCUAUGUGGCUUAGCAAGACAGCUUUGGUUAUCUCCAUCCAAAUACUGUAGGCUUGCAGGUGGAAGAUGAAGAGUCAGUGUAAUUAGUAAGGCUCUGUAGAAGUCUGCAAAGAUAUCAGCAGUUAUGCGGCAAGAGACUAUGGCUUGUCUGUUCAGGUUUGUGGUUGAUAUGACAAAGUAGAAGCUGCUUCUUGUAGGAUGGUCACUCAGGAACUGAUCUGUAGCAAAUUUGCUACUAUGAUAAAGUAUAAGAGUUACAGUGGCUUGUAGCAAGUUUACUACUAUGAUGAAGUAUAAGAGUCAUAAUAGUUUUUCUUCGUGUGAUUUCACUAAUUUGUAGAUAUAUUAGUGAUUUUUUCCUUUUGGUGGUUUUGCAAAUAGGAAGACUUUGAAGCAGGUUGUGUGAGUGGACUGUUCUACAGAAGAAAUAUUGGUGGAGGUAUGAUCCAGUUAUGGCCCUUGAAAUAAUUGUGUUAGUUCUUUAUGGGCUUAUAGUGAGAGGAAGAGUUAGAGAGAUUUUGUACAAUAUUUUACUAGUUUUGUUCUAUGAUUCCACUUAGAUUCAGAUGCAUCUAUAGAAAUAAGGUAUUUGUCAAAGGUUGCAUAUACAUGCAAAGGCAAACUCCUUAUGCCUCAACACUUUGUAGCCACAUAUGUAUGGUCCAGUUCCAGUAGGACUGGUUCUGAACCAGUUCCCCUUCCCACUCUCUUCUUUUGCUUUUAAAGAUAAGUUGGGAAGGCCUGAGAAUCUAUCUAAACAAUCUCCUUCUCCCCUCCCCUCGUAGCUAACAACACACCGAUUCAGCAUGAUUGAAGGAUGAUCAAACUCAAAAUAAGAUAUACUUCCUCUUUCUAACCUUAUUUCUUCUUUUUCUUUGGAUGCGAAAAAAUGCCCUAAAAUUCGCAAAAUAAGGGGAGAUCUUGCCAAAAAUUUUGAUUUUAACAUGAUUUCAUGAUAUGUUGUAGAUCUAUGGUUGAUUUAUGGAAGAUCUGAGAAUCUAUCUAAACAACCUCCUCCCCCCUCGUGGCUAAAAACAUGCCGAUUCAGCAUAAUUGAAGAAGGAUCAAACUCAAAAUAAGGCAACAAAGAAGAUGAGGGCAGUGGUUUUAUAUGGCCAAAGGGGGAUGCUGGAGAGCGGGGCAUCCAGUCGUUGAAUUUUCAGUCACUUGCUAUGGGCCCCUGGGUUCAACAGUCACUUGAACCAUUAUUGCUGGGAAAUGAGCUCAAUUUGUGCCAAGCCAUAUCUGCUGCAGCUUUGCAGGAAAUCAGGGGUGGGGAUUUUAUGAUGCAGCAAUUUCUUCAGUAUCAGCAACCUUUUUCAUUUCCUCAACAGUCCUGCAGAAAUAAUCCAUUGCUACAGCAGCAAAUUUUUCAGCAGACUCCUCAAGAGCAGAUUGUCAUCCCCCAGUCACAAUGUGUAACUGAGAAUCUUGCACAUUCUGUUCCAGACCAACAGUUGCAGCGAACUCAUAAUGAACAACAGAAGCAGCAGGUUCAACAACCACAAACAUAUGCAGAGGCAUUCCAGAUUCCCAAGAAUCAUAUGCAUCAGCAACAGUCACCUUUGCCACCUCAGUUGUGCCACCUCAGUUGUGCCAAAAUCAGUUUUUCUUGCUUCAAGCUUAAACUUUUCACCAGUCCCUGCAUCUAGUUGCAUCCAGCGUAUGUUGGGGUCUUCUUAUGCUGAAGGAAAUGCUACCAUUCUAAACUGCUCUAGACUUGGUAAUCCUAUAAUAAGUGAGCAAAAUCAGCAACCUUGGGAGCCUAGGUUUACAAUGUCACAGGUUGCUCCGUUUGGCAGUACUGUAAUGCUUCCUUCAUUUGCUGAGAAGGAUACUUCUGUGGGAUGUGAAAAUUGUGCAAAUCUGCAGAACCAUACCCUGUAUGGUCUUGGCAAGGAUUUUCCAUCCUCCCUCUCUAUUGCGGUGCCUAAUGUUGGCACAAGUGGCAGUGACAAUGAUAUAUCAACAGUGCCAUAUGCUGCUUCAUGUUUUUAGAAUUCUCUAUAUGGUUACCUGGAUGGGUCUUCUGGCUCGCUGCAAAGUGCAGCAGAGAUUGAUCCAGCAACCCAAAUGUUUGUGAAGGUUUAUAAGUCUGGAUCAGUUGGGAGGUCGCUGGACAUCUCUCAAUACAGCAGCUAUGAUGAACUUCGUCAGGAGCUGGGUCAGAUGUUUGGUAUUGAGGGUCUAUUGAAUGAUCCUCUUAGAUCAGGCUGGCAGCUUGUAUUUGUCGACAGGGAGAAUGAUGUGCUUCUCCUUGGAGACGACCCAUGGGAGUAAGAUCUUCCUGGAUUUGCUCUUUCUAUUGGUGCCAUGUACUUUUGUCAUAAGCUCUGCAUAGAACUAGGUCACAGUCCAAUGCCAAGACACUUCCUGUGUAUGUGGGUCUUUGAUAAGUUGUCAUGCUGCAUUAAAUGUGCUACUUGCUCAGGUGCCUGCUUAGAUUACAAUUUUCUUUUUCAUGAUUUUUCAA